rnacentral:rRNA from 1 species
UGGACCCACCUGAUCCCAUGCCGAACUCAGUAGUGAAAC